CCCAAACGAUGAGUGCUAGUGUUAGAGGGUUUCCGCCCUUUAGUGCUGCAGCUAACGCAUUAAGCACUCCGCCUGGGGAGUACGGUCGCAAGACUGAAACUCAAAGGAAUUGACGGGGGCCCGCACAAGCGGUGGAGCAUGUGGUUUAAUUCGAAGCAACGCGAAGAACCUUACCAGGUCUUGACAUCCUCUGACAACUCUAGAGAUAGAGCGUUCCCCUUCGGGGGACAGAGUGACGGGUGGUGCGUGGUUGUCCUCCUCUCGUGUCGUGAGAUGUUGGGUUAAGUCCCGCAACGAGCGCAACCCUUGAUCUUAUUUGCCAGCAUUAAUUUGGGCACUCUAGGGAGACUGCCGGAGACAAACCGGAAGAAGGUGGGGAUGACCUCAAAUCAUCGUGCCCCUUAUGACCUGGGCUACACACGUGCUACAGUGGAUGGUACAAAGGGCUGCAACACCGCGAGGUCAACCCUAUCCCAUAAAACCAUUCUCAUUUCAGAUUGUACGCUGCAACUCCCCUACGUGAAUCUGGAAUCGCUAAUAAUCGCAGAUCAACGUGCCGCGGUGAAUACUUUCCCGGGCCUUGUACACACCGCCCGUCACACCACGAGAGUUUGUAACACCCGAACUCUGAGGGGUAACCUUUAUGGACCCACCCGCCUAAUGUGAGACAUAUGAUU
rnacentral:rRNA from 1 species